UAUAUAACCCUGCUUCAGUUAAAAUCCAAUCUGCAGCCAAAGAACGAGAUUGGGUGCCGAUGGAGGGUGGCGAAGCGAGUGGCUUGGAAUCGAUGCUGCUAUUCGUAGUGGUGCUCUUGGCAGUGCACGUUAUCGCCCUGGUUUACUUUUUGUUCAAAUUGUGUACGCAGAAGCCGCCGGCGCGUAGGAAGAUACAUUAGGGUUUAGUUGGCAAGUCCGACAAUAUUUUUCUUUUUGUCUAAAUUUGUUCUUUCUCAUGAUUUUGGAUGGAAAGGAUGAACGUCUUAUUGAAGUCCAAUUAUGUUGGAUUUAGAAGGUUUACGUUGCGGAUGAUGUUGAUUUUGAUGACUAUUAUCGAUGCUCUUGUAAAUUUCCCAUUGUUUUUAUGGUAAUUGGCUCCAAUUAUAGGC